UACGAAGGGGGCGAGCGUUGUUCGGAAUUACUGGGCGUAAAGGGCGCGUAGGCGGCGAUCCUAGUCAGAUGUGAAAGUCCUGGGCUUAACCUGGGGACUGCAUUUGAUACUGGAUUGCUUGAAUGCAGGAGAGGAUAGCGGAAUUCCCAGUGUAGAGGUGAAAUUCGUAGAUAUUGGGAAGAACACCGGUGGCGAAGGCGGCUAUCUGGACGGCAACUGACGCUGAGGCACGAAAGCGUGGGGAGCAAACAGG
rnacentral:rRNA from 1 species